CAGCGUACAUGGUAAAAGCCCCCUGCAAUAACAUAUUUGUAAUUUUUUUCGCUGCAACUUUAACUCAGACCAAACAUUUCUACCUCAAACCUCAUGACCAAUUUCGCAGCGAAUAUCCCACUCUCAUUACUCCCUUCUUCUUCUCUCGGCUUACCCUGCGUCUCGCCGGUGGUUCUCACCAGUGGUCGUCGCCGCGUGGUCUCGCCCGUCGCCGGUGGUACUCUAGCAAGAGUCUAUUUAAUUUCCUCACCUCUCACCGGUGGUUCCCUGCUCGAAAAACCCCCGCAAAAGGUAUUCCCUGCUCGAAAAAACAACCGGCGAAGUGAUUCCCUGCUCGGAAAACUAAGCUUCUUUGCUCGGCCGGUUCGCGAACCCUGUUCUCCGUCAAUCCUCGCUGCGGCAAGUAACUUUCUCCCCUGUCCCUUUUUAUUUUCGUUUUCAAAAUUAGGGUUUGUUCAUUUUUCAUUUUUGCAGAGAAAGCCAAAGAAAUUGUUGGCUGACAAGAUUAGGAGAAAAUACAUACGUUUAUCUCGGAGACUUCCUCCACCCUUUUGAAGGGCGCAUAUACCAGUAAAAAACCGUACUGUUAUAAUACUCGAGACAGAUACUGGAGAACAAUACGAAGCCAAUUAUCUGCCUCAAUAUCGUGGACUCAGUGGUGGGUGGAAAAGGUUUGCCAUAGUUCUGAAAUUGGAAGGAGAUACUGUUGUUUUUCAACUAGUUGAACCUGCCAAAUUUAAGUCUACCUCUUCUAGAAUCAAAUCACUAAACUAGUUGAAGCUGAGGAUAAAAGCUGCUAAUGAAGCUGAGGCGGCUUGCCAACGGCGUCUCUCUGUUGCUGAGGCUGAAAUAGCUGAUUUAAGAUCCAAAUUGGAUACUACUGAAAGCAUGGAAGGCAAGCAUUCGUUUCUGUGCCUAGCACUUUUCCUGUGCCUGGAGAAGAACUGAUGUUUUGAUGAUUGUAAGAGGGGCAAGGAGAAGCUUGUUUGUGAUGCUGCUCAAGUACUGCUUUAUUUCGGAGUUGAACAAAUCAUCUAUGUUUCUGAAAUGACGCACUGCUAAAUAAAGGUCUACACUCCGAGGAAUGCGCCUAUACUAGUGAGGAAAUUGAUGUGGUUCGUGAGCAACGGGCUAAGUGUUUUACCCGCAAGUAUUUACUAUUGGCUUGAGCGCGCUUGAUCGAGGUGGUUUAGUUGUUAUAGAACAAUCGUUUACAUUAAAAUGUAUGCGUACAUUGAAAUUGGAACGUAUAUUUGAAUGUAGUACGUGCACUUUGGUUUUGGGAUAUAUAUAUAUGUAUACAAAACACCAGUUAUUAUUUUUUAUAUUUGUUGA